GACGAACGCUGGCGGCGUGCCUAAUACAUGCAAGUCGAACGCUCGGGCGGGAAGUUGCUCUUCUGGAUGAUUUGCGCACGGGUGAGUAACGCGUAUGUAACCUGCCUGUUAGAGGGGGAGAACAAUUGGGAACGAUAGCUAAUACCGCAUAACAGUAGAUGUUCCAUGACAUUUGCUUAAAAGGUGCAAUUGCACCACUACUAGUUGAUCCUGCGUUGUAUCAGCUAGUUGGUGGGAAAACGGCUCACAACGGCGACGAUCCAUAGCCGACCUGAGAGGGUGAUGGGCAACACUGGACCUGAGACACGGUCCAGCCUCCUACGGGGGGCGCAGGUGGGGAACCUUCGGCAAUGAGCGAAGGCCGGACGGGGCACCGCCGCGUGAGUGAGGAGGGUCUUCGGAUGGUAAAACUCUGUUAUAGGGGAGGAACAUAUGUGUAAGUGACUGUGCACAUUGUGACGGUACCUAAUCAGAAAGCCACGGCUAACUACGUG
rnacentral:rRNA from 1 species